rnacentral:tRNA from 1 species
AGGGCGUAUUUCUUAUUUUAGCGGCCGCUAAAUAGCUAUAUUUUCCUUUAUAUAUCAAUAGCCUGCGCGCCUUUCGUGGCCACCUUGACAUGGUGGGGGUCGUUGGUUCGAGUCCAAUCGCGCCUACCA